GACGAACGCUGGCGGCGUGCCUAAUACAUGCAAGUAGAACGCUGAAGAGAGGAGCUUGCUCUUCUUGGAUGAGUUGCGCACGGGUGAGUAACGCGUAGGUAACCUGCCUUGUAGCGGGGGAUAACUAUUGGAAACGAUAGCUAAUACCGCAUAACAAUGGAUGACACAUGUCAUUUAUUUGAAAGGGGCAAUUGCUCCACUACAAGAUGGACCUGCGUUGUAUUAGCUAGUAGGUGAGGUAAUGGCUCACCUAGGCGACGAUACAUAGCCGACCUGAGAGGGUGAUCGGCCACACUGGGACUGAGACACGGCCCAGACUCCUACGGGAGGCAGCAGUAGGGAAUCUUCGGCAAUUGGGGCAACCCUGACCGAGCAACGCCGCGUGAGUGAAGAAGGUUGUCGGAUCGUAAAGCUCUGUUGUAAGUCAAGAACGGGUGUGAGAGUGGAAAGUUCACACUGUGACGGUAGCUUAACAGAAAGGGACGGCUAACUACGUG
rnacentral:rRNA from 1 species